rnacentral:rRNA from 1 species
UGGGGAAUUUUGGACAAUGGGCGAAAGCCUGAUCCAGCAAUGCCGCGUGUGUGAAGAAGGCCUUCGGGUUGUAAAGCACUUUUGUCCGGAAAGAAAUCCUUGGCUCUAAUACAGUCGGGGGAUGACGGUACCGGAAGAAUAAGCACCGGCUAACUACGUGCCAGCAGCCGCGGUAAUACGUAGGGUGCAAGCGUUAAUCGGAAUUACUGGGCGUAAAGCGUGCGCAGGCGGUUUGCUAAGACCGAUGUGAAAUCCCCGGGCUCAACCUGGGAACUGCAUUGGUGACUGGCAGGCUAGAGUAUGGCAGGAGGGGGGUAGAAUUCCACGUGUAGCAGUGAAAUGCGUAGAGAUGUGGAGGAAUACCGAUGGCGAAGGCAGCCCCCUGGGCCAAUACUGACGCUCAUGCACGAAAGCGUGGGGAGCAAACAGGAUUAGAUACCCUGGUAGUCCACGCCCUAAACGAUGUCAACUAGUUGUUGGGGAUUCAUUUCCUUAGUAACGUAGCUAACGCGUGAAGUUGACCGCCUGGGGAGUACGGUCGCAAGAUUAAAACUCAAAGGAAUUGAUGGGGUCAUAGCUGUUUCCU